rnacentral:rRNA from 1 species
GUGAGUAACGCGUGGGAACGUGCCCUUUGGUUCGGAAUAGCCCCGGGAAACUGGGAGUAAUACCGGAUAAGCCCUACGGGGGAAAGAUUUAUCGCCAAAGGAUCGGCCCGCGUUGGAUUAGGUAGUUGGUGGGGUAAUGGCCUACCAAGCCGACGAUCCAUAGCUGGUUUGAGAGGAUGAUCAGCCACACUGGGACUGAGACACGGCCCAGACUCCUACGGGAGGCAGCAGUGGGGAAUCUUAGACAAUGGGGGAAACCCUGAUCUAGCCAUGCCGCGUGAGCGAUGAAGGCCUUAGGGUUGUAAAGCUCUUUCAGUGGGGAAGAUAAUGACUGUACCCACAGAAGAAGCCCCGGCUAACUCCGUGCCAGCAGCCGCGGUAAUACGGAGGGGGCUAGCGUUGUUCGGAAUUACUGGGCGUAAAGCGCACGUAGGCGGAUCAGAAAGUCAGAGGUGAAAUCCCAGGGCUCAACCUUGGAACUGCCUUUGAAACUCCUGAUCUUGAGGUCGAGAGAGGUGAGUGGAAUUCCGAGUGUAGAGGUGAAAUUCGUA